GCUAAAAUAGCUCAGUCGGGAGAGCGUUAGACUGAAGAUCUGAGAGUGCCUGGUUAGAUCCCAGGUUUGGCA